CAGCGCAGCGCUGAGCGCGGGAGAGAACCACACCAGACCAGACCAGGCAGCAGCAAGAAGAAGCUGGCAGCGGCGGCAGGUUAGGGGUUAGGGGGCGCAAAUUACUUGCCUUGCCCCGGGUGCUGACAACCCACGCUAUGCCGCUGAUUUCAAGUGCUAAUUGUACUUAAUAGGAAUUACGUCAGUAAUCUUUGCAUCCUCCCUAUAGGCUAGGUUACUGUGGGGGGAGAAAAGUAGCUUUUCUAAGGCUGUCUAGUGAGUUCCUGAAUCUGGUACAUCCCAGCUCACCUUGCAGUGCAGCCUGAUGCAAGUCUACAUAGAAGUAAGUCCCACUGUGUUCAUUGGGGCUUACUCUCAGGAAAGUGUGCCUAAGGUUGUAAUUCUGCAAACACUUAUUUGGAAAUAAGUCCCACUGAACUGUAGGGUCCAAUGAAUCUGCUGCCGCUCAAGGAAGAUGCUCAGAAUGGUCUCUAAUAUAGAGAAUCAUAGAAUGGUGGAGUUGGAAGAGACCCCAGGGGUCAGCUAGUUCAACCCCCUGCAAUGCAGGAAUAUGCAGGUGGCCUAUAUGUGAACUUGGCAUAAUCAGCACCACAUGCUAACCAAAAAAGGUAACUGGCUUCCCAUAUAAUAUAUAUUUGAAAAGAAAUUAAAGUUUGGAGAACUUGCUUGAACACCAUUUCUCAACACAUUAGCUCCAGCUCUUUCAUCUACACCAGUUUGACUUUAUUCUUGCACAUUCUACCUUUUUUAAAAAAAGAACAGCGCUGGAUUAACAUUCAUUGCAAGAUUACUAGCAACUAUCAUAUAACAGCGGGACUACAAAAUAAUUAGAGAAUAGCCCACUGGUGGACUAUCUUCUGUUCAUCCCUGCUCUAUCCUAUGCCCUUUUAAAAUGUGUCGUUUUUUUGGAGGGGGGUUAUUGGGUUGUUUUUGUUUUUAUUAUGUAUUUUGUGGUUUUAUAUCUUGAUUUUAUUCUGUGAACCACCCUGAGACCCCUGGGUAUAGGGUGGUAUAUAAAUUCAAUAAAUGAUGAUGAUGAUGUAACACAUGGAAAGGAUCUAGGUUCACCUGAAGCCUUAUAUCAUAUUAUUAUCACUGCACAGAGGUCACAUGAAGCUGAAAUCAAGGUCCUACUGAAUCUCAAAGGGGAAGGCAAGUCACCUUUGACUAUUUUUAUUCCCCUGCAUUUUUCCUAAUGCAAAUAAUUACCUGCCCAGUUGCUUUCUUUCUUCUUCAGGUCCUAAGUUGCUCCUUCAGUUCCAGCUAAUGUCCAGUGUAUGUAGAGCAGCAUUCCAGCUAUAUCCCACAGAGCACAAUAGAAAAUGAUAAGCAAAUAACUCAUUAUGCAAGGGGAACCAUUCGGAAUCUGCAGAAGAGGACUGCAGCUCAGAGCAAAACAGAUUUUAAAUAAAUGUACAUAGGAUUGCAAUGGAACCCCUGUCAAGAUGAGAAAAUACCAUUGCAAGCAGUAAAUGUCUGUCACAAGAGGCUGUAUAACAUCACAAGGUUACCUGCCUCUACACAGUUGUUGGACUAUGG